rnacentral:rRNA from 1 species
UUUGACGUUCGCUUUUCCGUCGUCCUCGGGACGUUAAGGUGCUCUGGUCAAGGAUAAGCGACCCCUCUGACCGAGGUGAAACCCGUCUCUCCGUGUUACCUCGAGAAACUCUUUUUUUCCGAGGCACACGUUAAAGAUUGUUCCGCGUUGUGAGUCUAACAUCGGUUGUAUAAACUUUUUACAACCGGUAGCGCUGGAUCCCUUGGGACGUCAUUCGAUGAAGACCGUUGCAAAUUGCGAUAAAGUGAUGUGAUGCGCAAGUCCACCACUUAUACGUGAAUCAUCGAGUUGUUGAACGCAUUGCACCGCGCCCUAAUCMGGCUGCGGUAUGCCCCUUUGAGCGUCAUUGUAUCCCUUCGGGAGUCCUUUUACRAGGACCCGAGUUCGGAGUCCUCGGUCCUCUCUGGAUCGUGUUCUCUCAGAUGCCUCGCGCCGAUCGCCUGAUGGGUCCUCUAAUGCCUAAGCGUGGAGUUCCUUCAGUCCGAGACGCGCUUGACCGGGUCUUGAGCCUGCGUCAUCAAGUCUGCCUAACCRGCGGUACUACAACGCAUGACCUCAUUGGGGUAGGACAACCCGCUAGACUUAAGCAUAUUAAUCAGCGGAGGAAAAGAAACUAACCAGGAUUCCCUCAGAAC